CAGUAGCCGCGGUAAAACGUAGGGUGCAAGCGUUAAUCGGAAUUACUGGGCGUAAAGCGUGCGCAGGCGGUUAGAUAAGCCAGAUGUGAAAUCCCCGAGCUCAACUUGGGAACUGCGUUUGGAACUGUUUAACUAGAGUGCGUCAGAGGGGGGUGGAAUUCCGCGUGUAGCAGUGUAAUGCGUAGAGAUGCGGAGGAACACCGAUGGCGAAGGCAGCCCCCUGGGAUGACACUGACGCUCAUGCACGAAAGCGUGGGGAGCAAACAGGAUUAGAUACCCCCGUAGUCCCUGUCUCUUAUAC
rnacentral:rRNA from 1 species